AUUGAACGCUGGCGGUAUGCUUAACACAUGCAAGUCGAACGAGAAACCCCGGGCUUGCUCGGGGGAGUAAAGUGGCGCACGGGUGAGUAACGCGUGGGUAACCUACCUCUGAAUCUGGAAUAACUUCGCGAAAGCGUUGCUAAUACCGGAUAUUGUCCUUUGAACUGCGGUUCUUGGGAUGAAAGGUUACCUCUUCUUGAAAGUUGCCGUUCGGGGAUGGGCCCGCGUACCAUUAGCUAGUUGGUAGGGUAAUAGCCUACCAAGGCGAGGAUGGUUAGCUGGUCUGAGAGGAUGACCAGCCACACUGGCACUGAAACACGGGCCAGACUCCUACGGGAGGCAGCAGUGAGGAAUCUUGCGCAAUGGGGGAAACCCUGACGCAGCAACGCCGCGUGAGCGAAGAAGGCCUUCGGGUCGUAAAGCUCUGUCUAGUGGGAAAAAAGUCCUGGUGUAAAUAGCUCCAGGAUCUGAUGGUACCGCUGGAGGAAGCACCGGCUAACUCCGUGCCAGCCGCCGCCGUAAUAC
rnacentral:rRNA from 1 species